rnacentral:rRNA from 1 species
GAUGAACGCUGGCGGCGUGCCUAACACAUGCAAGUCGAGCGAACAGACGAGGAGCUUGCUCCUUUGACGUUAGCGGCGGACGGGUGAGUAACACGUGGGUAACCUACCUAUAAGACUGGGAUAACUUCGGGAAACCGGAGCUAAUACCGGAUAAUAUUUCGAACCGCAUGGUUCGAUAGUGAAAGAUGGCUUUGCUAUCACUUAUAGAUGGACCUGCGCCGUAUUAGCUAGUUGGUAAGGUAACGGCUUACCAAGGCAACGAUACGUAGCCGACCUGAGAGGGUGAUCGGCCACACUGGAACUGAGACACGGUCCAGACUCCUACGGGAGGCAGCAGUAGGGAAUCUUCCGCAAUGGGCGAAAGCCUGACGGAGCAACGCCGCGUGAGUGAUGAAGGUCUUCGGAUCGUAAAACUCUGUUAUUAGGGAAGAACAAACGUGUAAGUAACUGUGCACGUCUUGACGGUACCUAAUCAGAAAGCCACGGCUAACUACGUG